GUUGUAUUCUCUGCUGUAUUGCCUUUUCGUGGCUGCAACAGUUUUAGAGUAUUUUAUAAAAUUUUGGACGAAUGAACCAACAGUUUUAACGUUCCCCAGCGCAAAGUUCCCCAGCGCAAAGUUCCAUGUUCUGUUCCUGUUCUUUGUGUCUGCAAUGUUCUUCGUCAGUGUGCUUUCACUGUUCAGCUACCAUUGCUGGUUGGUUGGAAAAAAUAGAACAACAAUAGAAUCAUUUCGUGCACCUAUGUUUUCUUAUGGAAUAGAUGGAAAUGGUUUCUCUCUUGGAUGCAGUAAAAAUUGGCGACAAGUCUUUGGUGAUGAAAAGAAAUAUUGGCUAGUUCCAAUAUUUUCAAGCUUGGGUGAUGGUUGCAGUUUUCCAACUCGCCUUGUGGGGAUGGAUCCAGAACAAGCGUCUAUUGCAAACCAGGGUGAAUACAUCAGAAGUAUUGGCUCAAAUCAACCUUUUCCUAUCAAACCACUUAGUGAGUCAAAAAACCGUUUGUUGGACAGUGAAUCUCAGUGGCUAGAGAAUGGAGCUGAGGAAGGAAUCACCAAAUCAGG
rnacentral:lncRNA from 1 species